rnacentral:rRNA from 1 species
GACGAACGCUGGCGGCGUGCCUAAUACAUGCAAGUCGAACGCUUCUUUCCUCCCGAGUGCUUGCACUCAAUUGGAAAGAGGAGUGGCGGACGGGUGAGUAACACGUGGGUAACCUACCCAUCAGAGGGGGAUAACACUUGGAAACAGGUGCUAAUACCGCAUAACAGUUUAUGCCGCAUGGCAUAAGAGUGAAAGGCGCUUUCGGGUGUCGCUGAUGGAUGGACCCGCGGUGCAUUAGCUAGUUGGUGAGGUAACGGCUCACCAAGGCCACGAUGCAUAGCCCACGUGAGGGGGGGAUGGGCAACCUUGGAACUGAGCAAGGCCCCAACCUCCUAGGGGGGGCAGAAGUAGGAAAUCUUCGGAAAUGGACGAAAGUCUGACCGAGCAACGCCGCGGGAGUGAAGAGGGUGUUCGAUUCGAAAAACUCUGUUGUGGGAGAAGAAAAAGGAGGUUAGUAACUAACCGCCCCCUGACGGUAUCUAAAAAGAAAGCCACGGCUAACUACGUG